ACCAUGUCUGAAACUGUUAAGUCAAUAAAGAAACGUGUUAAUUGAGAGCUACUGUGUUUUCUUUCCAGAUUAGUCGCCAAUAAAAACAACCAAUAUAAACAGAGGACGAGUUCAUAAACACUCACAAUAAUUGAGGAUCGGGGACUAGAUAUUGUCGGCAAACGACGCGUGCAGACGCCUAUAACGGGCAAUGUCAUUGGUUGAUGUCGUCAGCUGAUAGUAGAGCUAGCCAUUCUGGUGCCUUCACACAUUCUCAUAUUUUUUGCGGGAAUUCUCUGCCUUGUACUGAUAACUAGGUCAACGCAUAGACAAAAACCACGAGUCCCUAACCUCCCCUAUAAUUGUCUCCCCAGAUUUAAACGAUUCACAGAAAUGACCCUGGCGGCGCCAAAAUCGGCGGAAUUCCGCGGAAAAUUCCCAUCCCUGAAUAUAGACACUUAUAUCAUGUGUUACCGUCAUUACAACACUUAUAUAAGGCUUUUAACUUUUUGCGGCUCCAGAUAGAUUUUUUUUUUGUUGUAUUUUUGGUCCAAUAUGGAUCUUUCAACAUUUCGGGUUGCCGACCCCUGCCCUAGGGAAUAAUGGACAUGAUCUGUUCCAGGGUCAAACAGUUGCCAUCAUAAAAACGUUAUCUCUAUGCUAUGGAAACCGUGUUUGGCAGGCUUUUAGCAGACUGACCACAAAAUGUGUGUAUCUGUGUGUGUGGGGGGUGGCCUGAGGACCUGCAGCGAAGCGGGGUGUGCCAGGACCAGCUGCAAGAUCAGCAAAAGCAGCCGAAGAGGAGAGGGUUGUUGGAUUUGGAGCACAAGAGAGAGCGACAGCGAGAUUGACAGACACUGAAGAAAAUUGGGGAAAAGCACAACACAGACUAUUCUGGUUAAAUAAAACUGUUUAAAAACCCUGAAAA